AUUGAACGCUGGCGGCAGGCUUAACACAUGCAAGUCGAGCGGAGAUGAGGUGCUUGCACCUUAUCUUAGCGGCGGACGGGUGAGUAAUGCUUAGGAAUCUGCCUAUUAGUGGGGGACAACAUUCCGAAAGGAAUGCUAAUACCGCAUACGUCCUACGGGAGAAAGCAGGGGAUCUGCGGACCUUGCGUUAAUAGAUGAGCCUAAGUCGGAUUAGCUAGUUGGUGGGGUAAAGGCCUACCAAGGCGACGAUCUGUAGCGGGUCUGAGAGGAUGAUCCGCCACACUGGGACUGAGACACGGCCCAGACUCCUACGGGAGGCAGCAGUGGGGAAUAUUGGACAAUGGGGGGAACCCUGAUCCAGCCAUGCCGCGUGUGUGAAGAAGGCCUUAUGGUUGUAAAGCACUUUAAGCGAGGAGGAGGCUACUGAGACUAAUACUCUUGGAUAGUGGACGUUACUCGCAGAAUAAGCACCGGCUAACUCUGUGCCAGCAGCCGCCGUAAUAC
rnacentral:rRNA from 1 species